GGUGUUGCAUGGCUGUCGUCAGCUCGUGUCGUGAGAUGUUGGGUUAAGUCCCGCAACGAGCGCAACCCUCAUCCUUAGUUACCAUCAGGUAAUGCUGGGGACUUUAAGGAAACUGCCAGUGAUAAACUGGAGGAAGGUGGGGAUGAUGUCAAGUCAUCAUGGCCCUUAUGGAGUGGGCUACACACGUGCUACAAUGGUGGCUACAAUGGGCUGCAAAGUCGCGAGGCUAAGCUAAUCCCUUAAAAGCCAUCUCAGUUCGGAUUGUACUCUGCAACUCGAGUGCAUGAAGUUGGAAUCGCUAGUAAUCGUGGAUCAGCACGCCACGGUGAAUACGUUCCCGGGUCUUGUACACACC
rnacentral:rRNA from 1 species